GAUCCUGGCUCAGGAUGAACGCUAGCUACAGGCUUAACACAUGCAAGUCGAGGGGCAGCAUGAUCUUAGCUUGCUAAGAUUGAUGGCGACCGGCGCACGGGUGAGUAACGCGUAUCCAACCUUCCCUGUACUAGGGGAUAGCCCGGCGAAAGUCGGAUUAAUACCCUAUGUUUUCCGAAGCGAGCAUUUAAUUUGGAACAAAGGUUUACCGGUAUAGGAUGGGGAUGCGUCUGAUUAGACAGUAGGCGGGGUAACGGCCCACCUAGUCGACGAUCAGUAGGGGUUCUGAGAGGAAGGUCCCCCACAUUGGAACUGAGACACGGUCCAAACUCCUACGGGAGGCAGCAGUGAGGAAUAUUGGUCAAUGGGCGAGAGCCUGAACCAGCCAAGUAGCGUGCAGGAUGACGGCCCUAUGGGUUGUAAACUGCUUUUAUAUAGGGAUAAAGUGAGGGACGUGUCCCUUAUUGUAGGUACUAUAUGAAUAAGGACCGGCUAAUUCCGUGCCAGCAGCUGC
rnacentral:rRNA from 1 species